rnacentral:rRNA from 1 species
AGCCGCGGUAAUACGUAGGGCGCAAGCGUUAUCCGGAAUUAUUGGGCGUAAAGAGCUCGUAGGCGGUUUGUCGCGUCUGCUGUGAAAUCCGGAGGCUCAACCUCCGGCCUGCAGUGGGUACGGGCAGACUAGAGUGCGGUAGGGGAGAUUGGAAUUCCUGGUGUAGCGGUGGAAUGCGCAGAUAUCAGGAGGAACACCGAUGGCGAAGGCAGAUCUCUGGGCCGUAACUGACGCUGAGGAGCGAAAGGGUGGGGAGCAAACAGGCUUAGAUACCCUGGUAGUCCACCCCGUAAACGUUGGGAACUAGUUGUGGGGUCCAUUCCACGGAUUCCGUGACGCAGCUAACGCAUUAAGUUCCCCGCCUGGGGAGUACGGCCGCAAGGCUAAAACUCAAAGGAAUUG